rnacentral:rRNA from 1 species
AACCUUUGACAUCCCGGUCGCGAGUACCAGAGAUGGAACUCUUCAGUUCGGCUGGACCGGAGACAGGUGCUGCAUGGCUGUCGUCAGCUCGUGUCGUGAGAUGUUGGGUUAAGUCCCGCAACGAGCGCAACCCUCGCCCUUAGUUGCCAUCAUUCAGUUGGGCACUCUAAGGGGACUGCCGGUGAUAAGCCGCGAGGAAGGUGGGGAUGACGUCAAGUCCUCAUGGCCCUUACAGGUUGGGCUACACACGUGCUACAAUGGCGGUGACAAUGGGACGCAAUGGGGCAACCCUGCGCAAAUCUCAAAAAGCCGUCUCAGUUCGGAUUGUGCUCUGCAACUCGAGCACAUGAAGUUGGAAUCGCUAGUAAUCGCAGAUCAGCACGCUGCGGUGAAUACGUUCCCGGGCC